GCCAUCUUAGCUCAGAUGGCCAGAGCGAUUGAUUCGUAAUCAAUAGGUCGCGGGUUCGAUUCCCGCAGAUGGCU
rnacentral:tRNA from 2 species